rnacentral:tRNA from 1 species
GAGGCAGUAGUAUAAAAUGGGAUUAUGUCCUUUUUUCGUGAGGAAGAUGUGUUGUCUUA